AUUGAACGCUGGCGGCAGGCCUAACACAUGCAAGUCGAGCGGAUGACGGGAGCUUGCUCCUUGAUUCAGCGGCGGACGGGUGAGUAAUGCCUAGGAAUCUGCCUGAUAGUGGGGGACAACGUUUCGAAAGGAACGCUAAUACCGCAUACGUCCUACGGGAGAACGCAGGGGACCUUCGGGCCUUGCGCUAUCAGAUGAGCCUAGGUCGGAUUAGCUAGUUGGUAGGGUCAUGGCUCACCAAGGCGACGAUCCGUAACUGGUCCGAGAGGAUGAACAGUCAAAGUGGAACUGAGACACGGUCCAGACUCCUACGAGAGGCAGCAGUGGGGAAUAUUGGACAAAGGGCGAAAGCAUGAUCCAGACAAGCCGCGUGUGUGAAGAAGGUCUUCGCAUUGUAAAGCACUUUAAGUUGGGAGGAAGGGCAGUAAGUUAAUACCUUGCUGUUUUGACGUUACCGACAGAAUAAGCACCGGCUAACUCUGUGCCAGCCGCCGCCGUAAAAC
rnacentral:rRNA from 1 species